CCUACGGGGGGCAGCAGUAGGGAAUAUUGCUCAAUGGGGGAAACCCUGAAGCAGCAACGCCGCGUGGAGGAAGAAGGUUUUCGGAAUGUAAAGUCCUAUUGGUAGAGAAGAUAAUGACGGUAUCUAACGAAUAAGCACCGGCUAACUCCGUGCCAGCAGCCGCGGUAAUACGGAGGGUGCAAGCGUUAUUCGGAAUCACUGGGCGUAAAGAGCGCGUAGGCGGGAUAGCAAGUCAGAAGGGAAAUGCUAGGGCUUAACCAUAGAACUGCAUUUGAAACUGUGAUGCUAGAGUAUGGGAGAGGUAG
rnacentral:rRNA from 1 species